rnacentral:rRNA from 1 species
UUGCGGUUAAAAAGCUCGUAGUUGGAUUUCUGCCGAGGACGACCGGUCCGCCCUCUGGGUGAGUAUCUGGCUCGACCUGGGCAUCCUUCCAGAGAAUGUGUCUGCUCUUGACUGAGUGGUGCAGUAUCUGGAACUUUUACUUUGAGGAAAUUAGAGUGUUUCAAGCAGGCAUACGCCUUGAAUACAUUAGCAUGGAAUAAUAAGAUAGGACCUCGGUUCUAUUUUGUUGGUUUCUAGAGCUGAGGUAAUGAUUAAUAGGGAUAGUUGGGGGCAUUCGUAUUUAACUGUCAGAGGUGAAAUUCUUGGAUUUGUUAAAGACGGACUACUGCGAAA